GUACACGCUGUGACUAGCAUAUCAAUAAGCGGAGGAAAAGAAACUAACAAGGAUUCCCCUAGUAACGGCGAGUGAAGCGGGAAGAGCUCAAAUUUGAAAUCUUCAAGGGUUUACCUUUACGAAUUGUAGUUUAAAGAAGUGUUUUCUGUUGAGGUUUUGGUAAAAGUUCUUUGGAAUAGGACAUCAUAGAGGGUGAGAAUCCCGUAUUUGACCAUUACUUUUCAGCUGUGUGAUAUACUUUCAAAGAGUCGGAUUGUUUGGGAAUGCAGUCCAAAAUGGGUGGUAAAUUUCAUCUAAAGCUAAAUAUUGGCGAGAGACCGAUAGCGAACAAGUACCGUGAGGGAAAGAUGAAAAGAACUUUGAAAAGAGAGUUAAACAGUACGUGAAAUUGUCAAAAGGGAAGCGUUUGACACCAGUGUUGUUUUUCUGAAAAUCAAUUAAAGAACUGUUUAUGCUAAGCUGUUUAGACUUUAUCAGCUAUCUGUUUAGUUUUGAGCUUUUCUUUAAUGCACUUUUCAGUUAACAAGUCAACAUCAAUUUCUUUUGCUGUAAAAAAGCUUGAGGAAGGUGGCUUGAGAUUCGUCUUAAGUGUUUAUAGCCUCUUGCCUAUGCAGUCGGAGAGAUUGAGGUCUGCAGCGUAGAUCCUUCGGGGCUAAAUGCAUUUGUGCUAAGUUAUAGCAUUUUAUAGACAACUUGUUGACUAUGAUUUGUCUUGUAGCUUACUCGCUUAUGUUAUUUUACCUACGCUUAGGAUGUUGAUAUGCAUGACUGAUAU
rnacentral:rRNA from 1 species